GCAUAGUUCCACAUUUUUUGUGUAAACAUUUGGGAAAAACUGUAAUUUAUUUUAUUAUUUUAUUUUUGAAAUCAGUAGCAUCUUUUUGUGCCAGUCUUUUGUAGCUCAGGUUGUGUUUGACUGUGUGGAACACCAGUGCCUCUGUACCUGUGGUAAUCUAGAGGGGAGGACUGGGGUUUUCUCUUAAUAAAUGUAUUUAUUCAUUUACAUCUUAACUGUUUAUGUAUAAGUAUGGCUUGUUAUUUAAAUGACCAUAUAUAACAUGAUUAAUACUGCUGUAUAUUAAACAAACGAUCAUACGAGACAACCCUGGCAUUCUUUCUCUGACUUCAUAAGUCAUUAUGUCGUCGAGAUUUAACACAUACCCAUCAGAUCAGAGCUGUGGGGGAGGGACUCCGCAUGCGCGGAAACCGCACCGGCCUCACUUCGGGAACUCGAUCAGUCACGCGAGUUCUGUCCAGGAGAACAGUCGCUGCCGCCACGCUGCUAUUUCCAUGCUUUUAAAAACACCGAGUUUGGACACAAUGACGAAUAAGAACGAGAUGGUGAUCUUAAUCAUGAUAUUCCUGCUGAUAAUGGUCCUGGCUGAGGCCAGUCUUAGUUGUCAGGAGAGUGGGAAUAAUAAAUUCACUGUGAUCGGCAGUAAAGAUUGUACGGACCACAGCUGGCAGGUUAACGGCAUAGUUGUAGCACAUGCUGAUAAAGUCGGAACCCAUGCACGUGAAUACAUCUCCUUUAAUUCACGUCACACGAAUGUCAGCUACUUCUGUGAAAUGAAAAAUGGCACAAGACAGACCAUCAAAUGUAAUCAAAGCGAACCCCUGGUGAAAACCACUGCAGCUAUAGGUAAACCUGAUGAGCAACAUGAUAUUCCUACCAGCAACCCUGAAAGUCCUGCUUCCCAUGGUGGUAUCAUCGGCAGCAUCGUCUUAAUUGGCAUCAUCAUUGUCAGUGGCUUUGUCAUCUGGAUUGUUUGGCAGAGGCGGAAGCCGACAGAGAAUCCACAUGUUUACAUUCCAGCAACGCAGCAGCAGGACACUGAUGAAACUCAAAUGUGAACAUCAAAAAUACUGAAACCUACUGGUUUUAGAUCAGUGUAAUACAUUGACUUAGUGGCUCCUUCUUAAAGGUUGUGACCUCAUUCACAUUGAAUAACAGUUUUUCUUGGUCGCUUUGGAGCAUUUUUCACAUCAGAAUUGAAUUUUGCAAAACCAGUUGUUCAAUCUGCACAUGAUUCAGUCACUUGUGCAGAUCACAGAAGCAAUUUCACAUUUAUUUUAUACAAACAGCAAAUGAUUCUGUACAACUGUGUGCUGUUUCCCAAAUUAUCAAUUGCUUUUGUCAUGAAGAUUACAAUGCAUUAUACAUGUAUAAUGCAACAAAGUGUACAUUGCUGCCUGUUUACAUUUCUGAAAAAAUUCUUUCCUUUGUGCUAUGUAAUCUUUUGACAGAAAUUUAUUUAUUUUUCUUUUUUUUGUUUUGUUACAAUUAUGUGGUCUGCCAAUAAAUUAAACACAAACAGUAAAUACA
rnacentral:lncRNA from 1 species